UGAAACUUGGAGUUGCAACGUAAGUUUUUCUUAGAAAGCUAGAACAACAACUCUAGGUCGCUUCUCUUUUGUUCUAGAGUUCCCUACUACUGGGAUAUGAAUCUUUUUCUUAUUUCUUUUCACAAAUUAAUGAAGGCUUUGGAAGAUUUGAUCACACUAUGAAACCUUAAUUACAUGUUAGGCAUAUCCCAAAAUUUUUCAGAUCAAACAUGGUGAAUAUUCUAGCAUGGAUGCAUAAUCUUUCUUACCUUCAGGAGUCGUCCGAGUUCCCCAAUGCUUAUGAGGAAGUGUGUGGUUCAGGUAACAUUUGGGUUGAAACUAGAAAUAACACAAAUAUAAUAUCAAUAAGUGCGAGAUGAUUUGGUGUUAAAAGAUUAUUUUCCUUCCUUCUGCAAGGAUAAAAGGUUAUUUUCCUUCCUUUUUGCUCUCAUUAUUCGUAUCAAAGUUAAUAAAGCAGUUUCUUUGUGCUAGCUAUUCAAAAUAAAUUUAUUCUUUCAUAUUUGCUCCAAACUACAUAAUUGAAUUUACAAAAUGGCAUUUAUUCUGUGUAUUUGCAGGUAAGAAUAUAUAAUACAAAUAGUCUACCUCAAAUU
rnacentral:lncRNA from 1 species